AGCGAACGCUGGCGGCAGGCCUAAUACAUGCAAGUCGAGCGCACCUUCGGGUGAGCGGCGGACGGGUGAGUAACGCGUGGGAACGUGCCCUUUGGUACGGGAUAACUGAGGGAAACUUCAGCUAAUACCGUAUGUGCCCUACGGGGGAAAGAUUUAUCGCCAUUGGAGCGGCCCGCGUUGGAUUAGGUAGUUGGUGAGGUAAAGGCUCACCAAGCCUACGAUCCAUAGCUGGUCUGAGAGGAUGAUCAGCCACACUGGGACUGAGACACGGCCCAGACUCCUACGGGAGGCAGCAGUAGGGAAUCUUGCGCAAUGGGCGAAAGCCUGACGCAGCCAUGCCGCGUGUAUGAUGAAGGUCUUAGGAUUGUAAAAUACUUUCACCGGGGAAGAUAAUGACGGUACCCGGAGAAGAAGCCCCGGCUAACUUCGUGCCAGCCGCCGCAGUAACAC
rnacentral:rRNA from 1 species